GGCACCAACACAUGGAUAUGUCGCAGUCUGCUUUAACCCCAUUUUAUCCCCCACCUCCUCCCUCUCCCCCACCCCAAGCCUGCACCCCCCCCAAUCAAUCACAGUAUAGGGCCCCGCCUCUGCGGCGGGCGCCCCGUGGCAUUGCGUGCCCCGGCGGAGAGUAACCGCAACACACAAGACCCAGACCGCCAUGCAGCAGGAAGGCCCGCAGAACACCCCAAGCGGACGAUGCCGCUCCCACUCUGCGGCCCCACCCAUCCAGAAGGGACGUCCGUGCGGGAACUGCGACCAGUGGAUGGAAGCUGCCCGGUCUGGCUGGACCCAGAGAGCUAAUCCUGGGCUCAGAGGGAAACAGAUGCAGAUGCAAACAGCAAACAGCAUUGCUUUCAAAACGAGUUCCAAAGUUGCUUGUGACCAGCACUGGUGUGCAAUCCAAAGGCAAGAACAUGACAUCACGCCUCUGCACUUGACUGUACGAUCAUGAGCAACGUUCACCACACAGGGUCCAGUAUGUAAAAUGUCCCCCAGAUGACGCACCUAGUCAGGAGGUGGGCGGCUCUACAGGUGUCUCUCCACCCCCCAUGAGAAGCUGUUACUGCAUCCCUUAAGUCUGGCAUGAUCGUCCUCAGCAAUGUUAGCAUGGUGAAUGGCAGUUCGAACGAAGAGCACUUCAACACCCCAUUGUUCAGUACAGAGGAUGACAAAAUGCUGCCAUUGCUGACUUUCAUGCCAGUUUUUGAUAAAUGAAUUUUGAUUGAAUAUAAUAAAAAAUGCCACGUUUGCAUCCCCA